AUGAGUCUAUUGGCCUGAAACUGUCGAGGAUUGGGGUUGGACUCGACAGUUAGCGAGCUUCGAGACCUGAUACGGUCCUACAACCCAGCGGUGGUGUUUUUAUCGGAGACAAAAAAAUCAGCAAAGGCAAUGGAGAGGCUCAAGUGGAGCUUAGGGUUUAGUCAAGGAGUCGCAGUGGAUUGUGUUGGCAAGAGUGGAGGGCUUGCUUUGUGGCGGCGAGAUCAUGUGAACGCAACAGUCAGGCCGUGGUGUCAGUACUAUAUAGACACCCAGCUGGUGGUGGACGGGAAUACCUAUAGAUUCACUGGAAUCUAUGGGGAGCCGUGUGUGGAAAAGAGGAAGAAAACAUGGGAGGUGCUGAGGUAUUUGAGGACCCAAGAUAAUCUGACGUGGAUAUGCGUUGGAGACUAUAAUGAGGCAAUGGUGCAGAAGGAGCAGAUCGGUGGCAAACCAAGAUGA
rnacentral:rRNA from 1 species